GAUCAUGGCUCAGGAUGAACGCUAGCGACAGGCUUAACACAUGCAAGUCGAGGGGCAGCAUAAAAGUAGCAAUACUUGGUGGCGACCGGCGCACGGGUGAGUAACGCGUAUGCAACCUACCUAUCAGAGGGGAAUAACCCGGCGAAAGUCGGACUAAUACCGCAUAAAACAGGGGCACCGCAUGGUGAUAUUUGUUAAAGAAAUUCGCUGAUAGAUGGGCAUGCGUUCCAUUAGGUAGUUGGUGAGGUAACGGCUCACCAAGCCGACGAUGGAUAGGGGAACUGAGAGGUUGGUCCCCCACACUGGUACUGAGACACGGACCAGACUCCUACGGGAGGCAGCAGUGAGGAAUAUUGGUCAAUGGGCGGGAGCCUGAACCAGCCAAGUCCGCGUGAAGGAAGAAGGAUCUAUGGUUCGUAAACUUCUUUGCAGGGGAAUAAAGUGCAGGACGUGUCCUGUUUUGUAUGUACCCUGAGAAUAAGGAUCGGCUAACUCCGUGCCAGCCGCCGC
rnacentral:rRNA from 1 species